rnacentral:rRNA from 1 species
AUGCGGCGGGCGGCGGCGCUCCUCCUCCUGCUCGCCUUCUCGGCCGCCGCCGUCGCAGCAGCAGCAGCCGAGGUGAAGGAUAGCACCGCUGGUAUCCUACCAGCAGGAGGAAACAAUGGUACCGGUAUAGCGGAUCCAGGUGUUGGGAGGACAGGGCAGAAUGGCGAGGCAGAUCCUAACACGCAACAGAAGGUACACGGGGAGGGGGAGCUCAAGAACGUCAUUACUGAGAACACUAACACGGAUAAUUCCGUCGAAGGAACUAGCACUGGGAAAGAUGAGCCAGUACAGAAACCAAAUGACAAAGAUGGCAACACAACAACAUCCUCGACGGACUUCUUGCAGGAUCCACUCAUUGGCGAAUGUGAUCCAUCCCAUAGAUGUCUCAUUGAAAAACAGAAGUUCAUCGCCUGCUUGAAAGUUUCUGGAGAUUCGUCAGCUCUAUCCCUUUUGAUGGACAACAAAGGCACAAACCCACUUGAUGUUAGCAUAACGGCUCCAGAUUAUGUCAUCUUAGCAGAAGAUACAGUUCAUGUUGAAGCAAACGGUCACAAUGAGACGCAGGUGAGUGUUUCUGUCAGCGAUACCGUGAAUGACAUGGCGAUAGUUCUCAAAGUCGCAGAAGAAACCUGUAAAAUCAAUCUUGAGACCGCAGUCACAAGGAACACAGGCCGAGCGAUACCAAUGCGGCUUACUCCAACCUACAUGCUGGUGCCCGUAUUUGUUCUCCUUGGGCUGGUGGGACUAUGUGUCAAACUCCGUAGGGCGCGGAAGCAAGAUGGUGGGCCAGCAUACCAGAAGCUCGACGCACCGGAGCUACCGGUCUCCGUUGGAGGGAAGAAAGAAGCUGAUCAGCCUGACCAGUGGGACGACAACUGGGGAGAUGACUGGGACGACGAGGAGGCGCCGUCAACACCGUCGAACUCCAUGCCCAACCUGUCGUCGAAAGGUCUGGCUUCGAGGAGGUCGACCAAGGAUGGCUGGAAAGAUUAG